GAUGAACGCUGGCGGCGUGCCUAAUACAUGCAAGUCGAGCGAACAGACGAGGCGCUUGCUCCUCUGACGUUAGCGGCGGACGGGUGAGUAACACGUGGAUCACCUACCUAUAAGACUGGGAUAACUUCGGGAAACCGGAGCUAAUACCGGAUAAUAUAUUGAACCGCAUGGUUCAAUAGUGAAAGACGGUUUUGCUGUCACUUAUAGAUGGAUCCGCGCCGCAUUAGCUAGUUGGUAAGGUAACGGCUUACCAAGGCAACGAUGCGUAGCCGACCUGAGAGGGUGAUCGCCCACACUGGAACUGAGACACGGUCCAGACUCCUACGGGAGGCAGCAGUAGGGAAUCUUCCGCAAUGGGCGAAAGCCUGACGGAGCAACGCCGCGUGAGUGAUGAAGGUCUUCGGAUCGUAAAACUCUGUUAUUAGGGAAGAACAAAUGUGUAAGUAACUAUGCACGUCUUGACGGUACCGAAUCAGAAAGCCACGGCUAACUACGUG
rnacentral:rRNA from 1 species